rnacentral:rRNA from 1 species
GACGAACGCUGGCGGCGUGCUUAACACAUGCAAGUCGAACGGUAAGGCCCUUCGGGGUACACGAGUGGCGAACGGGUGAGUAACACGUGGGUGAUCUGCCCUGCACUUCGGGAUAAGCCUGGGAAACUGGGUCUAAUACCGGAUAGGACCACUGCCUGCAUGGGUGGUGGUGGAAAGCUUUUGCGGUGUGGGAUGGGCCCGCGGCCUAUCAGCUUGUUGGUGGGGUGAUGGCCUACCAAGGCGACGACGGGUAGCCGGCCUGAGAGGGUGACCGGCCGCACUGGGACUGAGAUACGGCCCAGACUCCUACGGGAGGCAGCAGUGGUGAAUAUUGCACAAUGGGCGCAAGCCUGAUGCAGCGACGCCGCGUGAGGGAUGACGGCCUUCGGGUUGUAAACCUCUUUCAGCACCGACGAAGCGCAAGUGACGGUAGGUGCAGAAGAAGGACCGGCCAACUACGUGCCAGCAGCCACCGUAA